AUCUCACGUGGCCCGCGGUGCCGGAGGCCAGCGCGGUGACAUCGCGCCGCGCCAGUUCGAUCUGCCGCAGGAUC
rnacentral:tRNA from 1 species